UACGUAGGGUGCAAGCGUUGUCCGGAAUUAUUGGGCGUAAAGAGCUCGUAGGCGGUGUGUCGCGUCGGCCGUGAAAACCUGGGGCUUAACUCUGGGCGUGCGGUCGAUACGGGCAUCACUAGAGUUCGGCAGGGGAGACUGGAAUUCCUGGUGUAGCGGUGAAAUGCGCAGAUAUCAGGAGGAACACCGGUGGCGAAGGCGGGUCUCUGGGCCGAUGACUGACGCUGAGGAGCGAAAGCAUGGGUAGCGAACAGG
rnacentral:rRNA from 1 species